rnacentral:rRNA from 1 species
AAACGACUCUCGGCAACGGAUAUCUCGGCUCUUGCAUCGAUGAAGAACGUAGCGAAAUGCGAUACUUGGUGUGAAUUGCAGAAUCCCGUGAACCAUCGAGUCUUUGAACGCAAGUUGCGCCUGAAGCCAUUAGGUUGAAGGCACGCCUGCCUGGGCGUCA